UACGUAGGGUGCGAGCGUUGUCCGGAAUUAUUGGGCGUAAAGGGCUCGUAGGCGGUCUGUCGCGUCGGGAGUGAAAACUCAGGGCUUAACCCUGAGCCUGCUUCCGAUACGGGCAGACUAGAGGUAUGCAGGGGAGAACGGAAUUCCUGGUGUAGCGGUGAAAUGCGCAGAUAUCAGGAGGAACACCGGUGGCGAAGGCGGUUCUCUGGGACGGUACUGACGCUGAGACGCGAAAGCGUGGGGAGCAAACAGG
rnacentral:rRNA from 1 species